rnacentral:rRNA from 1 species
GAUGAACGCUAGCGGCAGGCUUAACACAUGCAAGUCGAGGGGCAGCGCGGGAUAGCAAUAUCCUGGCGGCGACCGGCGGAAGGGUGCGUAACGCGUGAGCGACAUGCCCGUUGCCCGGGGACAACCGGUGGAAACGCCGACUAAUCCCCGAUGGGAUACGAUGCUUCAUGGCAUUGUAUUGAAAGUUACGGCGGCGACGGAUUGGCUCGCGUCCGAUUAGCUGGUUGGCGGGGUAACGGCCCACCAAGGCUGCGAUCGGUAGGGGGUCUGAGAGGAAGGCCCCCCACGAAGGGACUGAAACACGGCCCAUACUCCUACGGGAGGCGGCAGUGAGGAAUAUUGGUCAUUGGGCGGAAGCCUGAACCAGCCAUGCCGCGUGCGGGAAGGAGGCCCUAUGGGCUGUGAACCGCUUUUGCCUGGGGGCAAUAAGGGCGUCGCGCACGUCCGAUGAGAGUACCAGGCGAAUAAGCAUCGGCUAACUCCGUG